CCUUGGAUCUGCACCAAGCUUGAGUCAUCACGUUCAAACAGAGGGGAGGGAGCGGGGAAAGAGCUUCAUUUUCCAAGAAGGGCAUUCCCAUACCAGGACACUUUUAAGUUCUUACCAGGAAAAGGAGCCUUUUUGGAACGAGGGGUUGUGCAGGAACUCGGUGGAGCCCUGGAACCGGAUCCGCUGGCCAUUUGGGUUGAGCUGGAACGAAAUUGACCUACAGCACAUUAACCCCUCACUUUGCUUCUUCACCCGUUUGGAAGCGUCGGUCCUACAAUUACCGACGCUACCCAGUGGCCAUGACUCUGCAGAACGGAUUUCCUAGCCCAGACCCACAACCCCCUGUUGGGUCUGUCCGUGCACAGGGAAGGCAGAAGGCUGAUCCUGGGGCUGAGCAGGGCCUGAAGGUCAGCAGGAGGCUCAGUUGUUGGACGCUCACACGCGUAUGAAAGCAUCCCAUAAAACAAGAGGAGAGAGCCUCCUCGUCUUCAGACAGCGUGCUGCACGUACUCCCACAGCUCAACCUGCGCCUGAGUUUUACAGCUCAUCUCAGAGCAGCACCCCUCCGCACAGCCCCUUUCUUUCACCACGCGCUCAACACAACACACAGACUCUACGUUAGCCCUCCUUUGCGGAGAGAGCCACUGCGUAUCCAUCCCACAGAGAUGGAGAUCUCCCCCCUCAGCCGCCAGCAGAGCUGGGAGCCCUGCAAGGAGCAGCUCUGCUGACGGUUGGAGGAGUAAAGCGGCACCAAGGGUUCGCAUCGCCGGGUCCAACGUAACACGGCUGCAAUCACCAUCAGUCUCCACAGACCCUCGUGUUUUAAAAGAAGUAGAAAAUAAAUGUUUGUCCUUUCGUUCUGCUGGCAAUUUCUCUCCCGGUGUCCGAGUGGUCAGAAGGGGGGAAGUCACCUGCAGCCACAGCUUCUGAUGCACAAAGGGCAGCGGCGGGAGCCACCCCGCUACCGCUCAGCCUUAUUCCAACGACCGCAGCGCCUUUUGUUCCUGAACCACUUCCCAAGCUCCCUCAGAACAUCGCAAAGUGCAGCUAUCACCAUCCCUCGAGAAAAGCCUUCAUUAAGAAAAGAUAAAGUCAAUCACUUACUUGUUCUCUCCCGCCGUUUAAACACACGCACACAGAAGAAAAAAAAAAAAAACAACAACAAAAAACCCCAAACCAAACAAACCGAAGCAACUUCUGGCUUCGUUUGGCCUCGUUCACGUUAAGAAAAAUAAAAGCCGGGGUAAAUGCCAGCCCUGAGUUCUCCCAAGACCUUAGGAAGCUCGGGGAAAACAGGGCGGAAGGGGAGCACCCCGGAGGAAUCUCGGAAGAGCGGAUUUAUUCCAAGUGCUUCGCAGCGCUGUUAUCUCCGCCUUGGCUAAGCGGAAUGCUGGUGAAAAUCUUUGCCUGGUACAGUGCGGAGCCUCUGGUUCACAGGCCAGGAAUUCUACGCUGAAUAAUUUUUAACUUCGGCUCUGGGAGGAAAAGCAGAGUCUCGUACAUUCUGCCCGCUGGAGUCGGCUUUCUCUUUUUAUUGCACGGAAGGAGA